UGACCAUGAAGUGCUUAGCAAAUCGUUUAACAUGCUAAACUAAUUUAUUUAAUCUAUUUGCUUCCUAAAACGUGUUCCAAAACAUAUACUUAUGUUGUUCGCCACAAACCCUGAAAUCAUUGACCCACAUUCCUUGCCAUCAACAACGGCGCACUAAAAAUUCUUGAAGCUGGCCAUAUUGAAAUUGCCUGCUGUCGAGAUUUAGUGAUUCCGAAGAACCUCAUUCUUAUCCCAAC